CACCGAUUAACGUCGGUAUGCUUGUUUCAGUGUGCACAACCAAAUCAACAACUAAAUGUGAGUGAAAUUCACUCAUGAAAUAAAUGCUCAACGCAGCAGUCACAUGAAUUUGUGAGCUGUUAGAGAACUAAGUCUUAUUCGCACCUGAAAUCAAGUAAGAUGAC
rnacentral:misc_RNA from 1 species